GUGAGGAAUAUUGCGCAAUGGAGGCAACUCUGACGCAGCCAUGCCGCGUGCAGGAAGAAGGCGCUACGCGUUGUAAACUGCUUUUAACCGGGAAGAAACCCCAGGACGUGUCCUGGGUUGACGGUACCGGAGGAAUAAGCACCGGCUAACUUCGUGCCAGCAGCCGCGGUAAUACGAAGGGUGCAAGCGUUAUCCGGAUUCAUUGGGUUUAAAUGGUGCGUAGGCGGAGCGUUAAGUCAGUGGUGAAAUCCUGCAGCUUAACUGUAGACUUGCCAUUGAUACUGGCGCUCUUGAGUGCGCUUGAAGUGGGCGGAAUGUGCCGUGUAGCGGUGAAAUGCUUAGAUAUGGCACAGAACACCAAUUGCGAAGGCAGCUCACUAAGGCGAUACUGACGCUGAGGCACGAAAGCGUGGGGAUCGAACAGGAUUAGAAACCCCUGUAGUCC
rnacentral:rRNA from 1 species